ACUCGAUAAUCCACGAAUAUCCAACCUUAUCUAGAUAAUCAGCAUGUAUACUGCCGUUGUAAGCAUACCUCUAAAAGAACCAGUAUGCCACUAUGACUAACAGCUCAAGUACAUCAGGUCAAAGUGCAGCUAAUGAAAAGGUGAUGAUGGGUUACAACCCAAAAACAGACUAUCAACCAAGAAAUAAAAAAUCUUAAGAAAGCGGACUUGGUUGUAAUCAAUUUACAAGUUAAAAAAAUGAAUAAUAUCUAAGACAUGCACACAUCGCCCGUCACUCUAACCUAAAGGCUAGAUAAGUCGUAACAAAGUAGGUGUAAUGGAAAUUGCACCUGUUGGAGUAUAGCAUAUAAAAUGCUUUCUACUUACACUAGAACUAAAGUUAAAACUUAUUCCGAACAAACAAAUAAAUCUUACAACAUAUAAGUAAAACAAACAACUAAAUAAUUUUAACUAAAACUAGUAAGUACAGAAAUGGAAAAAAAAAUAAACAAAAGUAACUUUUAACAAUUGUACCUUGUGCAUUAUGGUUUUACAAGAAACUAAUUAAAAAUAAACAUCCCGAAUUCUAAAUGAGAUGUUAAACUGCCGUUAAGAACCCACUAAUAUCUGUAGAAAAAGAUUUAAAAGACAGUUUAAUAGAGGCUACAUACCAUUCGCAUAAGAAUAUAGCUGGUUUUCAACAAACCUUAUAUAUUAAAACAUAUAACUAUAUUAUAGUGUAACAUUAUUGAGGAUAAGCCCAAUAAUAUAAUCAAUGCAUCACAAAAACAACCUUUUAUAUUAGGCCUAAAACCAGCCAACCAAAGUACUUUAUCGUAUUAAAUAAUAAUAAAAUAAAUAAAUAAAGCAUGUAAAAUAAAGUUGAAAUAGUUGAUAAACUACAUGUUCCACCUAUACUAUGUAAAAAUAAGUAUUAUAAAAUAUAAAUAACCCAACCUAGAAAUUGUAAUAAUUAAACAAAAAUAACUAAUUAAGAAACUCGGCAAA
rnacentral:rRNA from 1 species